UUGGAGCCAGCCGCCUAAGGUGGGACAGAUGAUUGGGGUGAAGUCGUAACAAGGUAGCCGUAUCGGAAGGUGCGGCUGGAUCACCUCCUUUCUAAGGAA
rnacentral:rRNA from 1 species